UGAGGAAUUUUGCGCAAUGGGGGAAACCCUGACGCAGCAACGCCGCGUGAGUGAUGAAGGCUUUCGGGUCGUAAAGCUCUGUCAAGUGGGAAGAACCUACAAAGUGCCAAUACUACUUUGUACUGACGGUACC
rnacentral:rRNA from 1 species